rnacentral:rRNA from 1 species
GCGAACGGGAGAGUAAUGCCUGGACAACCUACCCUGUAGUCGGGGAUAGCCACUGGAAACGGUGGGUAAUACCCGAUGGUCCCCUUCUGCCUAUGGCGGAUUGGGUAAAGGUGAUUCCGCUACGGGACGGGUCCAGGUCCCAUUAGCUUGUUGGUGAGGUAACGGCUCACCAAGGCGACGAUGGGUAGCGGGCCUGAGAGGGUGGCCCGCCUCACUGGGACUGAGACACUGCCCAGACUCCUACGGGAGGCUGCAGUCACGAAUCAUUGGCAAUGCACGCAAGUGUGACCGUGCGACGCCGCGUGGGCGAUGAAGGCCUUCGGGUUGUAAAGCCCUGUCAGGAGUGAGCAAAGCCGUAUGCAAAAUACGGUUGAGUUAAGCUCCAGAGGAAGUCACGGCUAACUCCGUGCCAGCAGCCGCGGUAAUACGGAGGUGGCAAGCGUUGCUCGGAAUUACUGGGCUUAAAGGGCGUGUAGGCGGCUAGAUCAGUCGGGUGUGAAAGCCCUCGGCUUAACCGAGGAAUUGCAUUCGAUACUGUCUAGCUAGAGUGCGGGAGGGGAGAGUGGAACUCUAGGUGUAGCGGUGAAAUGCGUAGAUAUCUAGAGGAA